GGAUAUGUUAAUAGCAUAUUCAUUUGACGUUAGCUGCAGAAGAAGCACCGGCUAACUCCGUGCCAGCAGCCGCGGUAAUACGGAGGGUGCGAGCGUUAAUCGGAAUUACUGGGCGUAAAGCGCAUGCAGGUGGUUUGUUAAGUCAGAUGUGAAAGCCCGGGGCUCAACCUCGGAAUUGCAUUUGAAACUGGCAAACUAGAGUACUGUAGAGGGGGUAGAAUUUCAGGUGUAGCGGUGAAAUGCGUAGAGAUCUGAAGGAAUACCGGUGGCGAAGGCGGGCCCCCCNGUCGGACAGAUACUGACACUCAGAUGCGAAAGCGUGGGGAGCAAACAGGAUUAGAUACCCUGGUAG
rnacentral:rRNA from 1 species